AUUGAACGCUGGCGGCAUGCCUUACACAUGCAAGUCGAACGGUAACGGGUCCUUCGGGAUGCCGACGAGUGGCGAACGGGUGAGUAAUAUAUCGGAACGUGCCCAGUAGUGGGGGAUAACUGCUCGAAAGAGCAGCUAAUACCGCAUACGACCUGAGGGUGAAAGGGGGGGAUCGCAAGACCUCUCGCUAUUGGGGCGGCCGAUAUCAGAUUAGCUAGUUGGUGGGGUAAAGGCCUACCAAGGCAACGAUCUGUAGUUGGUCUGAGAGGACGACCAGCCACACUGGGACUGAGACACGGCCCAGACUCCUACGGGAGGCAGCAGUGGGGAAUUUUGGACAAUGGGCGCAAGCCUGAUCCAGCAAUGCCGCGUGCAGGAAGAAGGCCUUCGGGUUGUAAACUGCUUUUGUCAGGGAAGAAAUCUUCUGGGCUAAUACCCCGGGAGGAUGACGGUACCUGAAGAAUAAGCACCGGCUAACUACGUGCCAGCAGCCGCGGUAAUACGUAGGGUGCGAGCGUUAAUCGGAAUUACUGGGCGUAAAGCGUGCGCAGGCGGCUUUGCAAGACAGAUGUGAAAUCCCCGGGCUCAACCUGGGAACUGCAUUUGUGACUGCAAGGCUAGAGUACGGCAGAGGGGGAUGGAAUUCCGCGUGUAGCAGUGAAAUGCGUAGAUAUGCGGAGGAACACCAAUGGCGAAGGCAAUCCCCUGGGCCUGUACUGACGCUCAUGCACGAAAGCGUGGGGAGCAAACAGGAUUAGAUACCCUGGUAGUCCACGCCCUAAACGAUGUCAACUGGUUGUUGGACGGCUUGCUGUUCAGUAACGAAGCUAACGCGUGAAGUUGACCGCCUGGGGAGUACGGCCGCAAGGUUGAUACUCAAAGGAAUUGACGGGGACCCGCACAAGCGGUGGAUGAUGUGGUUUAAUUCGAUGCAACGCGAAAAACCUUACCUACCCUUGACAUGUCAAGAAUUCUGCAGAGAUGUGGAAGUGCUCGAAAGAGGACUUGAACACAGGUGCUGCAUGGCCGUCGUCAGCUCGUGUCGUGAGAUGUUGGGUUAAGUCCCGCAACGAGCGCAACCCUUGUCAUUAGUUGCUACGCAAGAGCACUCUAAUGAGACUGCCGGUGACAAACCGGAGGAAGGUGGGGAUGACGUCAGGUCCUCAUGGCCCUUAUGGGUAGGGCUACACACGUCAUACAAUGGCCGGUACAGAGGGCUGCCAACCCGCGAGGGGGAGCCAAUCCCAGAAAACCGGUCGUAGUCCGGAUCGUAGUCUGCAACUCGACUGCGUGAAGUCGGAAUCGCUAGUAAUCGCGGAUCAGCUUGCCGCGGUGAAUACGUUCCCGGGUCU
rnacentral:rRNA from 1 species